UUCAGGUAGAGGCGCAAGAAUCAUGAUUAACUCCGUGGAUGUGAUAAGGCACAGUGGAAGCGGAAGGAAAGGGAGGAUUGCCGAAGGACGAUAAGACCUUACAUUAUUGUUCCUGGGCAUACAGUGAAGAACUGUAUGACUGUCAUCGCAAGAUGGAGAGCUACUUA
rnacentral:ncRNA from 1 species